rnacentral:precursor_RNA from 1 species
GAAAUUGAUCUGAUGUUGAGAAUGAUGUUCUUUUAAGCUUCCGCUUAUUUAAGUGCAAGGGGAAAAUAUAUUCAUUAUAUAAUUCAUACAUUAAACAGAAACUGUUAAAAGUUUCCACAUUAAUAAGAAAAAAUAUCACAUCCAUCGAGUUGAUUUUAGUCCCCAAUUAGUAUGUUGAGUUCCGUUCAAGUUCUAUAUACUCCCUCCAUUUCACAAUGUAAGUUAUUCUACCAUUUCCCAUAUUCAUAUUGAUGUUAAUAAAUCUAGACAUAUAUAUCUAUAUAGAUUCAUUAACAUCAAUAUAAAUGUGGGAAAUUUUAUAAUGACUUACACUGUGAAACAAAAAAAGUACAUAUUUCUAUCCAAGAGUGCACAAUAUGGUUAACAAAGCAAAUAAUCAAACCAACGUACAUGCAGUGCACUCUGAGUUGGUCUCACAAAAUCUUGAAGAAACCUAAAAACAUAUAUAUACGUUACAUUACCUGGUUAGAAUCUACUCCCUUUAUUCCAUAAUCAAUGUAGCUAAUUCUAACAUUCAAAUUUUAUUUCAAAAUAAAACUACUUUUCUACCUAGUCUUUCAUAAUCUUUUCUUAACCGAUCACAACCAUCUUUCAUUUAAUUUUUCUUCCUGCUUUCUCAUGCCACUAAUUCCCUAUUUAAUUUG